CUAGCGUUGUUCGGAAUUACUGGGCGUAAAGCGAGUGUAGGCGGUUGUCCAAGUUGGAUGUGAAAGCCUUGAGCUCAACUCAAGAAAUGCAUUCAGGACUGGAUGGCUAGAGGACCGGAGAGGAUAGUGGAAUUCCCAGUGUAGUGGUGAAAUACGUAGAGAUUGGGAAGAACACCAGUGGCGAAGGCGGCUAUCUGGACGGUUUCUGACACUAAGACGCGAAAGCGUGGGGAGCAAACAGG
rnacentral:rRNA from 1 species